AACGAGCGAGAGAGAGCUUGCUUUCUCGAGCGAGUGGCGAACGGGUGAGUAACGCGUGAGGAACCUGCCUCAAAGAGGGGGACAACAGUUGGAAACGACUGCUAAUACCGCAUAAGCCCACAGGUCGGCAUCGACCAGGGGGAAAAGGAGCAAUCCGCUUUGAGAUGGCCUCGCGUCCGAUUAGCUAGUUGGUGAGGUAAUGGCCCACCAAGGCAACGAUCGGUAGCCGGACUGAGAGGUUGAACGGCCACAUUGGGACUGAGACACGGCCCAGACUCCUACGGGAGGCAGCAGUGGGGAAUAUUGCACAAUGGGGGAAACCCUGAUGCAGCGACGCCGCGUGGAGGAAGAAGGUCUUCGGAUUGUAAACUCCUGUUGUUGAGGAAGAUAAUGACGGUACUCAACAAGGAAGUGACGGCUAACUACGUGCCAGCAGCCGCGGUAAAACGUAGGUCACAAGCGUUGUCCGGAAUUACUGGGUGUAAAGGGAGCGCAGGCGGGAAGACAAGUUGGAGGUGAAAUCUAUGGGCUCAACCCAUAAACUGCUUUCAAAACUGUUUUUCUUGAGUAGUGCAGAGGUAGGCGGAAUUCCCGGUGUAGCGGUGGAAUGCGUAGAUAUCGGGAGGAACACCAGUGGCGAAGGCGGCCUACUGGGCACCAACUGA
rnacentral:rRNA from 1 species